rnacentral:rRNA from 1 species
UACGUAGGGGGCAAGCGUUAUCCGGAUUUACUGGGUGUAAAGGGGGCGCAGACGGCAAUGCAAGCCAGGAGUGAAAGCCCGGGGCCCAACCCCGGGACUGCUCUUGGAACUGCAUGGCUGGAGUACAGGAGGGGCAGGCGGAAUUCCUAGUGUAGCGGUGAAAUGCGUAGAUAUAUAGAGGAACACCGGUGGCGAAAGCGGCUCUCUGGCCUGUAACUGACACUGAGGCUCGAAAGCGUGGGGAGCAAACAGG